rnacentral:pre_miRNA from 1 species
UUAGGGCGAAUGUCGGAGUAGUCGCUUGUGGUACAAUUGACAAAAAGUGACUAGACCGAACACUCGUAUCCCUAAAUC